UUCUUUUGUUGCAACGUGGAGCGUUGAGGGUUGUGCGUUAUGUUUUUAGAUGCACCAUAAAAAAAAGAAAUAAAUUCUGGUUUAGAUUCUUUCAAAUGCUUGCAGUGGGCAGUGUGUGUGUGUGUGUGUGUGUGUGUGUGUGUGUGAAAGAGAGAGAGAGAGGGGACUGGUUGCCUGAUUCCACCACUGCCCCCUUUCUGCCAGCGUAGUCUCAGAAA